GCCGGGCACAGUGGUGCAUGCCUGUAGUCGCAGCUACUUGGGAGACUGAGGCUGGAGGAUCGCUGGAGUCCAGGAGUUCUGGGCUGUAGUGCACUAUGCAGAUCGGGUGUCUGCACAAAGUUCGGCAUGAAUAUGGUGAACUCCCAGAAGUGAGGGACCACCAGGUUGCCUAAGGGGUGAACCAGCCCAGGUCAGAAACGGAGCAGGUCAAAACUCCCAUGCUGAUCAGUAGUGGGAUCGCACCUGUGAAUAGCCACUGCACUCCAGCCUGGGCAACAUAGUGAGACCCCUUCUCU
rnacentral:SRP_RNA from 1 species